rnacentral:rRNA from 1 species
UGGCGGCAGUAGCGCGGUGGUCCCACCUGACCCCAUGCCGAACUCAGAAGUGAAACGCCGUAGCGCCGAUGGUAGUGUGGGGUCUCCCCAUGCGNGNGU